ACACGAGUCAGCAAGGCCUCUGUAAUUUCCCCUUUUUUGUGGUUAUUUGAUUUAAAUAAAAACUCCCUCUCUUCAAGGAAGUCAGUUUUGCACUCGCUUAUGGUCUUCAAAGGAUUUGGUUCCUUCUUAUGCACCUACUGUAUAAGAUGAUCACAAUUUUUGCAUUAAUUCCAUGGAUCACUCUGUCUGUGGUGACAGAGCUGAGUGCUGCAGUCAGUUCUGUUGAUCGGUUUGUGCUGAAAGGAAACUCUACUAACCUCACAGUGGAGGGACUACAAACAGAGAAUGUCCGGAGACUUUCAUGGAAAGUAAACUCAACGCUUAUACUGGAGUACAACCUGAAGGAAAAGAAAGAGACGUACUUUGGCAGUUUUGAGCAGAAGACAAAUUUUAACCCCACAGACUACUCUCUGUACAUUAAGAACCUGAUGGAGACAGACAUUGGUCUCUACUCUGCUGAAAUUCUUGACAAUAAUGGAAAAUCCACCUAUCACACGAAGUAUAACUUACAUGUCCUGGAAGCUGUACCCAAACCCAUCCUAAAUCUGAUGUUACUCCAUCUCAACUCCUCUGGAACAGUUUGCAAUGUGUCAGUGAACUGCUCAGUUGGACACAGCUGGGUCUCCUGCACCUGUGAUCAGGACCAGUGUAAACAUGUGGAACUCCAGUCAGAUGUGAACAUCAGUGUCACUGCUAACAAGGGUACCAUCACCUGUACAGGCAGCAAUCUGGUCAGCAGUGCAAACCAGUCAAAAGCGAUGGAACCUCUAUGUGUUCAAUCCUCCCUUUCAGAACCCUUUCCAUUAACGGCUAUCAUUGCAAUCACUUUGGCAAUUUGCGUGGGUGUGUGUGUAUUAAUCUUUUUAGUAUUUUGGGUUAGAAGAUCCAUGAGGUCUUCAAGCCAUGCUACAUCACAGAACACCCCAGCAAAUGAAGCGGACACAAUAUACACCAAUCCAUUGGACCACAACAUACAAAGCCCUCAAAAUGCAAAACAAAAUUCUGAUCUAACUGUGUACUCCACCGUGGGUCAGAUAAGUGACCCAAAGCCUUACACUUGAAGUCCCGCCAAAGUUCAAUGCUGAUAUAACUACAUACAGUGCGGUGAAUUAAUGACUUUGAUUUGACUUCAAUAAAAACAAAGAGAAUGUCGCGUUGUAGUGAUAU
rnacentral:lncRNA from 1 species